AUACGUAAUAUUUGAGGAUUAUUGGAACUUACGGAUUGGGAAUCCGAGUUACGGAUCUUCCGGAAUUGGAAUUGUAAGUCCAUAAUAUAAAAUGUUAACCGUCACUUAGUUUUGGAAAUUGACGGAGAUCCGACCGUUGGAUGGUAAUGAAAUUUUAGGAUGUUGUCCUAGAGGUAUAAUGUGGACCUCUGGAAGUUAUGGAUUUAAAAUCUGAGGGGUGGAUCUUCCGGAUCAAUCUACGUAGUGACGUAUUUUAUAUAAGUUAUAUAUUCUAUCGAUAUGAAUUCUGAGGUUGGAAUUGAUUAUUGUUUUAGGCGCCCGAUCGUCAUGACGCCUUGGCGUAUUGUGCUAGGGAGUUGUAGGGCGAACUCCAGGUGAGUGGGCAGUUUUGUUUUCCGUAUAUAUAUAUAUAUACUUAACGUUUUCCCAGAAAUUGAAAAUGCAUGAAAUUAUGUUUAAAAUGAAAUGCAUAUGAGUUAUGUGGAAAAACGGGAAGUGAAAUACCAUGCAUAGAAUUGAUAUGAAAAGUAUAUAGAAAUGUGAGUUGAAAUGUCAUGCAUGAAUUUAAUAUAUGAUGCAUAUGUAUGAAUUGGUGCGGUGGACGCACAGGUAAGAAUUGAUUUAUGAUGCAUAUGUAUGAAAUGGUGCGGUGGACGCACAGAUGAGUAUUUAAUUACUGUUAUGAUGAUGAUGAUAUAUAUUGAGCUCAAAUCCUGCACCAUGGUUUAGUGCUUAUAGUAUUCACCGCAUCGCACGCUCGCCUUGGAUCCAAGUAGAUGCUAGUCGUACAGUCCACGCGGAGUGGGUACGACAGACCAGUCGCGAGAGUGUUAGUGAGAUUCCGGCUGGUGGGUGACCUUAGAUUAUGUGCACAGAUGAUUUAUGAGAAGCACUAGAGCGUAACUUGUGUGCAGAAGGCCGGACGGGUCACAGAGGUGACUCCGGUAGAGUGAUAAUGAUAGAUUUUGAGCUUUAGGUUCAACCGUAUAGGGCUAUUAGAGGGCCUACGGUUGAUUACUUUCUUGCACCUGAUAUGAUUAUGUUGAUGCAUUCAUACCUUAUUACUGUUUGAGAUGAUGUGGCAUGGCAUAAUUAAUAUGAGAAAUGUUGAGAUGACAUGGCAUGGCAUGAUUGAUAAAGAGAUAAUGUUGAGAUAGUAAAAAUGAAGUUUUGAGAAUAUAUAUGUAUAUUUAUAUUUUACAUUUCUGGGAAAGUAUACAGGUUUUACGGAGAGGGGUUACAACGUUUUGAGAAAUGUUUGGAUUUGGAAAAGAAUUGUUUUACUGACCCACUCAAUUUUGGUUUUGCGCCCCUCCAGGUUCAGGAAUCACAAAGGUGUGGUGACUACGAGGAAUUCGACGGUGUUCUGACAGAUUGGACAAAAUUAGGACUCACCUUCGGGUGUAUCAAUUUAAAUUGUAUCUUAAAGCUUCCGUACUGUGCAAAUGGUUACGUCACUCUCACGUGACGGCCAGCAUGCCCUCCUUCGGGACGGGGUGUGUCAGUUGGUAUCAGAGCAUGGUUGCAAUCUUGGACAUUUUGAGAAGUUCUAGUGAAUUCUGUCAGAACUACACCGCCUCGUAGCAAGCCACUUAGUUAGAGGAAUUUAGUCUCCCUAAUAUAACGGUUUAGGGGAAACUAUUAUUAUGGUGAUUCAGUCUAUUAUAAAAAGGGACAUUUUUAAGAUGGGUUAUGAGUUGAAUUUGAAUCACUUAAGAGAAAUGAUGAACCUGAGGGAGCGAAGUAACGGUUUAACCAUUUGGAAAAGAUGUUUCGGAUUAUGCAAGUCAAAGGAAUCUUCCUUCUGACAAGGGGUCGAGAUGACUACCUGGUUUGAGUUAUGAACGUGUAUCCUGAUGGAAGCAGGAGUAUUAAUUGUUGUCACCGGAGGAACAGCCGAUUUAAAAUUGUUUAAGGACUUGUUUAAGGAAAAGUUUAUCCCUCCGGCAUUUAUCGAUGGUAGUAAACAAGAGUUUACAAAUAUGAGACAAGGAAGGUGAUGAUCGAGGGAUAUUAUAGAAAGUUUUCAGACUUGCCUUGUUCCAUCCAGAUAUUGUUGUUAUUGGUGGAGGUGUUAUGUUGUUUUAAGCUGGGUGGCAAAAAGGGAAGUGGUAUUUUGGGUGACCACUAUCCAUUAUACUUCUUACCAGGAAUAUACGAGAUGCUGUUGAGUCUUGAGGACUCUGAGAACAUGAUCAACGAGAAUAAAGAAGAAUAAGAAAUGAAUGGGAAUUAAAAGAAGACGAUAAAGUUAAUGAUUCGUCAUAUCAAGGAGAUAGAAAGAUUCAGAGCUUCGAAAGAAGUGAAGCUAGAGUUAAUUCUUCCAGCUGAGGUUUUAAUGUCGCUGGUCAGAGUAAAAGUGAUGGAUAUACUGGUAAUCCCAGAUAUUUGAGACAAGGUGUCUCGAGUAAAGGAAAUGUACUUUGUGCAGCAGGUACAAAAUUAACACUUUGGGUAUGAAAUUAAUGAAUGUGUUUAUGUGAACAGAGGGGACACAGAAUUGUGAAUCGUCCCUAGAAUCAGUUGUACCCAACAGUUUCUAUGACAUCAUAGUGUUGAUUCAGCAGAGUUAUGGAUUUAGUAGUUUGGUCGGAUUGACCGUGAGUACAGAGAGAUUUGAUGAGUUAUAUGUUCAGCCGUACAGACCAUGAGAAGUGGAUUCGAUUGACACAUGAGAAAUUGGUGAGUUAUAGGCUCGGCCGUACCGACCACGCGGAGUGGAUCCGGCCGACGUAUUAUUGAGAUAAGAGUUGAAUCAGCCGUAUUGGUCAUUCUAGUUGACUUCGGCUGAUAUAUUUCUUAUUAUGUAUGUUAUUACCUAGAGAGUAGUAAAUAAAUGUAGUUGAGACGAGUGUAUGUAUUUUGCAUUGAGUAACAAAAUAGUAAUGUUAUAUCUUUGAGAGUGGUUGCCUACUUAUCGAGACAACGAUGAUUUAUCAGUAUUGCGGGCUGCAGACCGUAAUAUUAAUAACUCAUUCGUGGAUUCGUUAAGCAAGCAAACCGGUAGAUUAUUUUAUGUUAGUAUUGUACUUAUUCAGAAUGCUUAGUAGUAAUAGAGUAUGUAUUGUGUCGGUUAAAUUAUUUCCAUUAGAUUGGUUGGUUAUAAUUGUGACAAGACGGAAUGUUAAGGGAAACCAGUACUUUCCAUCGAUCUGGAUGACCAGAGAUUACUUUUGUAAGUAUGCAAAGUGGAUUGAGUCAGGCCGUUAUUUAUGCUGUGAGAGCAAAGAGAUUGUUUUCGAAAGGCUGUCAAAAAUAUUAGCUCGUGUGGUGCUAAAUGAUGUUGUUUGGAGUAGUGUGAAUAAUGUCAAAAAGGGGUUAGACUUUUCUUGAUGUCUUCCCUGAAAGUAUACCUGGAUUGCCUUCAGGCAGAGAUAUGAGGUUCACUAUUGAUUUGUUGCCAGGUAUAAAUCUAUGUUAAAGAUUGGUUCAGGAUGAGUUAAGGGAAUUGGAAAUUCAGUUGAAAGAAUUGGUUGAUAAAAGUUUCAUUCAACCUAGUACAACAUUUUUGAGGAGCCCCAGUUUGUUGGUGAGGAAGAGAAAAUGGACUUAGAGAUUGUUCAUUGAUUAUAGACAAUGGAGUCGGGUAACGAUUAAGAACCGUUAUCCAUGGUAAUGUACUGAUGUUUAUUUAACCAGCUCAGAAGUAAUUGCGAAGAUUCAAAGAUUGAAUUGAGAUCUGGUUACUACCAAUUGAAUAUUAUAAGUGACGUUGAUCAUAAGAUGGUUUUCUGGACUUGUUAUGGUCCUUAUGAAGUUUGGUGAUGCUAUGUGGAUACUCAUGCUGUUUUAUGAGUUGAUGGAUGAAGUAUUCCAAUAAUGCCUUGAUAGAUUGAUAUCAUUUUUAUUGAAGAUAUUCUGGCAUAUUCUGAGCCAGAGCAGAGCAUGUAAACGUAUUAAGUCGGUGAACCAAAGAUUGAGAGAACGUUGGUUGUAUGCUAAGUAGCAAAUGCUAAAGUUAGACGAAUCAGGUGGCAUUCUGAGAUUUGUUAUAUAUUCUUAAGGUAUUCAAGUGAAUCCUUAAAAGAUAGCAGAAAUUGAGAAAUUGGAACAACCACGAGCUGUAAUUGAGAUUCAGAAUUUCUUAGCUUACCAGGCUAUCUUGGAUGGUUGUGAAAGAUUUUUCAGUCAUUGCUUUGUCAUUGACGAGACUGUUGAGAAAAGAGGUUAUGUAUGAGUGGGAAGGAAAUUGUGAGCAAAGGAUUCAACAACUGAAGUAUUUCCUCACUCAUGCACGUAUUUUGGUAUUCCCAGAGAAUAGUGGUAAUCAUAAAUUUUUUAGUGAUGUUUCUUGAAUGGUAUUGGAUGCAUGUUGAUGCAAAUGUUAGGGUGAUUGGCAUACGUUUCACGAUAAAUGGAAUCUCAUAAGAUGAAUUACCCUACGGGUGACUUAGAAAUCAUGAUUACCAUUCUUGCUGUGAAGUUAUGAAGGCAUUAUAUUUGGUAAGAAUGCAAGAUUUUUACUAAUCCAAAAAGUCUUCAAUAUCCAUUACUUGGAAGGAUUUUGAUAUGAGGCAGCGAAAGUGAAUUGUAUUGCUUAAUGAACAUGAUUGUACGAUCAGGGUGAUCGUAAAGUUUGUUCUAACUGAAGCACUUGGUGAGAAGACUACAGUAAGAUUAAUGUCUGGCACGUUUGCCAAGAGUAUCAUCUUGUGGAUUGAAAACCAACGGAAGAAAAAUUAAGAAUGGAAGAUCGAGAAGAAGUUAUACUUGUUAAAUUUCAAGUUAGGCCUGUUUGGUAAGGUCGUACUUGAAACUUAAAUGCUUGACGAAGAAAUUUAAGAAUUAACCAAGGUAGAGAAAGAAGGUAAGUUAAAUCCUAAGUUAAUCGGACUUAAGUGUGAUUAUCGAAAAGUUUGGUGAAGUUGCUUACAAGCUUGUGAUGCCCUCAGAAUUGGUUAAGGUGCAAAAACAUAUUUUAUGAUUCGAUGCGUUGUCACUAGGUGGCAGAUUCGUCACAUGAGAUUCUGGUGUAACUAUUGAGAAUUAAAUUGGAUUCGACUUGAUAAGGAAUCAAGGACGACUUUGGAUUGGAAAAAGAAGGUCCUGAGAAUUAAGACAGAGUAAGUAGUAAAAGCUUUGUGAAGGAAAUCAUUCAGUAGAAAAGUAUGUGGGAGAAAGAGAAUCGGAUGAGAAAGAUUUACCCGAAGCUAUUGUUGGAGUAUGGUUGAUUUAGUUGGUUGCUGGAAUUUCGGGGACGAAAUUCUAUAAGGAGGGAAGAUUGUCACAGCCCGUCCCGGAAUUUUAAUUCCGAGGACAUGAAAAGACGAAAAUGCCCUUAAACGGACUAAGGGGCGAAAAUUUAACAAUUUGGAUUGAGUUGGACACGUGGGAUCCCCACACCCCUCAAUCCUCUCCCUAUUUUCUGCAUACUGUCUCUCUCUCUCUCCUCCCUCACGAAUCUCUCUCUCUCUGUCACUCUUCUUCUCCGUUCGAACAAAACCAACCACAAAACAACCUUAAACUUCCACCAACGACGGAGUUAAGACCACCAUCGAACUCCUGGAGACUCCACGAUCACGUAGACACCAAUUUCAGGUAAGUUUUACUUCGGGAAAACCUAGAUUUCUAAACUCCCCGUGAAAGUGCACUGUUCAUGAUCUUCGAAUUGACUUUGUUUUAGGACAAUCCAAGCUCACAGUGAGCUUAGUGAGGUUCCAAGGAAGCUCGGAGUGCUUCGUUGGAAGUUUUUUGGACGUAAGAACACGGAGAUCGAUAAGUUCAAAGUUUGGCCGGAGCUUUCGAGGCAUUUUCCGACGAAUCCCCGGCGAGUUAGGCGUCGAGGUAGGUAUCAAUCUCUUCGUCUCGUCAAGUACUACAACUUUCCUUUUUGUUUCACUCAAUUUCGUUGAGUAUUGAAGAAGUUAUACUCAUUUGAAAAAUACCCAGUUUCCGGCGACCUCCGAGGCUUUCGAGGCAGUUUCCGGCCAAACUACGGCUAACUAGGUGUUGGGAAAGGUACCAUUCUCUUUGUCUCUUCAAGGGCUACAACUUUCGUUUUUGAAUCACUUGAUUUCGUUGAGAAAUGACAAAGUUAUGGCAAUUUGAAAAACUGCCCAGAAAACGGCCGCCGGAAAAAACCAGUCCGGCGACCCAAGGAAGAAGAAGGUGCUACAGUAAAAAUAAAAAAUAAAAAUAAAAUUAUUUUAAAAAUAUGUCGACGUCCGUGACGUCGAGUAGAUCACUGUGGUAUAUUCAUAUACCUAAAUUGAACACCGUAUGAGAAAGUUAUUGAAGAUUGUUGGUUAGGUGUUCAAAUAACGUUUUAUAGUUUUCACAUUUAGGUGAAAAUGUGAAUUGAUGAUCCGACCGUUGGAUGGUAAUGAAAUUUUAGGAUGUUGUCCUAGAGGUAUAAUGUGGACCUCUGGAAGUUAUGGAUUUAAAAUCUGAGGGGUGGAUCUUCCGGAUCAAUCUACGUAGUGACGUAUUUUAUAUAAGUUAUAUAUUCUAUCGAUAUGAAUUCUGAGGUUGGAAUUGAUUAUUGUUUUAGGCGCCGAUCGUCAUGACGCCUUGGCGUAUUGUGCUAGGGAGUGUAGGGCGAACUCCAGGUGAGUGGGCAGUUUUGUUUUCCGUAUAUAUAUAUAUAUAUACUUAACGUUUUCCCAGAAAUUGAAAAUGCAUGAAAUUAUGUUUAAAAUGAAAUGCAUAUGAGUUAUGUGGAAAAACGGGAAGUGAAAUACCAUGCAUAGAAUUGAUAUGAAAAGUAUAUAGAAAUGUGAGUUGAAAUGUCAUGCAUGAAUUAAUAUAUGAUGCAUAUGUAUGAAUUGGUGCGGUGGACGCACAGGUAAGAAUUGAUUUAUGAUGCAUAUGUAUGAAAUGGUGCGGUGGACGCACAGAUGAGUAUUUAAUUACUGUUAUGAUGAUGAUGAUGAUAUAUAUUGAGCUCAAAUCCUGCACCAUGGUUUAGUGCUUAUAGUAUUCACCGCAUCGCACGCUCGCCUUGGAUCCAAGUAGAUGCUAGUCGUACAGUCCACGCGGAGUGGGUACGACAGACCAGUCGCGAGAGUGUGUUAGUGAGAUUCCGGCUGGUGGGUGACCUUAGAUUAUGUGCACAGAUGAUUUAUGAGAAGCACUAGAGCGUAACUUGUGUGCAGAAGGCCGGACGGGUCACAGAGGUGACUCCGGUAGAGUGAUAAUGAUAGAUUUUGAGCUUUAGGUUCAACCGUAUAGGGCUAUUAGAGGGCCUACGGUUGAUUACUUUCUUGCACCUGAUAUGAUUAUGUUGAUGCAUUCAUACCUUAUUACUGUUGAGAUGAUGUGGCAUGGCAUAAUUAAUAUGAGAAAUGUUGAGAUGACAUGGCAUGGCAUGAUUGAUAAAGAGAUAAUGUUGAGAUAGUAAAAAUGAAGUUUUGAGAAUAUAUAUGUAUAUUUAUAUUUUACAUUUCUGGGAAAGUAUACAGGUUUUACGGAGAGGGGUUACAACGUUUUGAGAAAUGUUUGGAUUUGG
rnacentral:lncRNA from 1 species